ACAAGCGGUGGAGCAUGUGGUUAAUUCGAAGCAACGCGAAGAACCUACCAGGCCUUGACAUGCAGAGAACUUCCAGAGAUGGAUUGGUGCCUUCGGGAACUCUGACACAGGUGCUGCAUGGCUGUCGUCAGCUCGUGUCGUGAGAUGUUGGGUUAAGCCCGUAACGAGCGCAACCCUUGCCUUUAGUUGCCAGCAGUUCGGCUGGGCACUCUAAAGGGACUGCCGGUGUUAAACCGGAGGAAGGUGGGGAUGACGUCAAGUCCUCAUGGCCUUUAUGACCAGGGCUACACACGUACUACAAUGGCCGAUACAAAGGGCAGCGACACUGCGAGGUGAAGCCAAUCCCGUAAAAUCGGUCUCAGUCCGGAUUGGAGUCUGCAACUCGACUCCAUGAAGUUGGAAUCGCUAGUAAUCGUGGAUCAGCAUGCCACGGUGAAUACGUUCCCGGGCCUU
rnacentral:rRNA from 1 species